rnacentral:rRNA from 1 species
UGAGUGGCGGACGGGUGAGUAACGCGUGGGCAACCUGGCCUGUACAGGGGGAUAACACUUAGAAAUAGGUGCUAAUACCGCAUAACGGGGGAAGCCGCAUGGCUUUUCCCUGAAAACUCCGGUGGUACAGGAUGGGCCCGCGUCUGAUUAGCCAGUUGGCAGGGUUUUAACGGCCUACCAAAGCGACGAUCAGUAGCCGGCCUGAGAGGGCGGACGGCCACACUGGGACUGAGACACGGCCCAGACUCCUACGGAAGGCAGCAG